rnacentral:lncRNA from 1 species
GGAGAAUGCCUGCUUUUCCUUCCGUCCUGUGCAGAGUUUGUCACUGCUGACGAAGCUUCUAUUUUUUUAAAUCCUUCCCUUCUUCUAGAGUUACUACAGUUGAACUUCAGAGUCCCAAGACUAAAAAUGUCUUUCUUUUCUUUAUCUUAUAAUGUAAUAUUCUUUCUUCCCAAAGAAGAUGAGGAGGAACAAUCCCUUUGAAAGAUAUUCAUUGAAAGGACAUUGAAUAUUCAUUGGAAGGACAGAUGCUGAAGCUGAAGCUCCUAUACUUUGACCACCUAAUCGAAGAGUUGACUCAUUGGAAAAGACCCUGAUGCUGGGAAAGAUUGAAGGGAGGGGAAGAAGAGGAUGACAGAGGAUGAGAUGGUUGGAUGGCAUCACUGACUCAAUGGGCAUGAGUUUGAGCAAACUUAGGGAGAUGGCGAAGGACAGGGAAGCCUGGUAUGCUGCAGUCCAUGGGGUCGCAAAGAGUUGGCUGAGCUAUUGAACCACAAUAACAACAACAGAGUUGUUCAAGGAGAGAGUCCAUAUCACUGAAAACGUGAGGUUCUUGGGGAAUAUACGGGAAGACCCUGCCCAGGGCCUGGCGCUUGGUAAGCACAGUAAAGAUGCACAGCAUGAGCGUUGCGCUGGACCCAUGAUGCAGUCACUGGCCAUUCUCUGCAGGGUAUUCAAAGCCUCGCCUACUCCCUGGCCUUCUGUGGAGCAACUCAUGUGGCCCUUCUGGUAUACCCUUGGACUUGCUGACUCAAAGGGCUAAAUAGUUCAGGAUGUUCCCUGUUUUCAGAGCCUUGAAGGCCCUAAUGUAACCUCUUUAUUUGACACAGAAGAUCUCAAAGAGAUUUUGUGACUCAUGCCUCACUGCUUCUACUAGCUUCUUUUUUAAAAAAAAAUUUACAUUAAAAAUUUUUUUGAUCAUGCCACAGAGCAGGUGGGAUCUUAGUUCCUGGGCCAGGGAUUGAACUUGUGCCCUUAGCAGUGAAAAGUGCGGAGUCCUAAACCACUGGACUGCCAGCGAAUUCCCUUCUAACUAGUUUUUAAUUUCUGUUGUAACAAGUUACCACAAGCUUAGAGGUCUAAGACAACAAGAAUGUGUUAUCUCAUAGUCCAGUUGUUCAGGGUCCCACAUAGGCGUCUCUGGGCUGAGAUCAAGGUGUGGGCAGGCCUGUCCCUUCUGGCGGCUCUGGGGAGGACCGUUUCCCUGAUGCUCCAGCCCUAGGGGUGCCUUCACCUGGAACAGGUGGUCACCCCCCAGUGUCCAAGUGAACAGUUCAGCAUUUCCCUUACCUGUCCUGUCAUCACAUCUCACUCUCUUCCUUUGGCUUCUUUCCUGUUUGUAAGGACACUGUGAUUACAUCGCGCCCACCAAAAUCAUCCAGAAUCAACU